rnacentral:lncRNA from 1 species
CGAGAUAUAUUGGUUUCUGGUGUACAACGCUUUUAGUUUACCCAACUUAGUACACGUUCAUAAAAUUCUUCGUCUUUAAUGUUUGUGAUCACGGUUGUUAUUGUGGCCCACGGUUUACAGGUUAAGACAGAUUCAUCACUUAUUUCGGGCUUUUACCAAUUAGUAUUGGCAAGUGCCAGCCUUUACCUAAACGGCUUGAUAAAAGCCCCCAAAUGGAAGCGUUUACAAGCUUUUUCGGGUAUUUACGAUAACACACAUGCCAUAUGCAUGGCUUCAUUUUUAAAAUCUUGUUCUAUUCCUUUGAGUUAUAUCAGUUUUAUGGUGAUU